rnacentral:rRNA from 1 species
AGAGUUUGAUCAUGGCUCAGGACGAACGCUGGCGGCGUGCUUAACACAUGCAAGUCGAACGGAAAGGCCCUUCGGGGUACUCGAGUGGCGAACGGGUGAGUAACACGUGGGUGAUCUGCCCUGCACUUUGGGAUAAGCCUGGGAAACUGGGUCUAAUACCAAAUAUGACCGCGCACUUCCUGGUGUGUGGUGGAAAGCUUUUGCGGUGUGGGAUGGGCCCGCGGCCUAUCAGCUUGUUGGUGGGGUAAUGGCCUACCAAGCCGACGAUCUGUAGCUGGUCUGAGAGGACGACCAGCCACACUGGGACUGAGACACGGCCCAGACUCCUACGGGAGGCAGCAGUGGGGAAUAUUGCACAAUGGGCGCAAGCCUGAUGCAGCGACGCCGCGUGAGGGAUGACGGCCUUCGGGUUGUAAACCUCUUUCAAUAGGGACGAAGCGCAAGUGACGGUACCUAUAGAAGAAGGACCGGCCAACUACGUGCCAGCAGCCGCGGUAAUACGUAGGGUCCGAGCGUUGUCCGGAAUUACUGGGCGUAAAGAGCUCGUAGGUGGUUUGUCGCGUUGUUCGUGAAAACUCACAGCUUAACUGUGGGCGUGCGGGCGAUACGGGCAGACUAGAGUACUGCAGGGGAGACUGGAAUUCCUGGUGUAGCGGUGGAAUGCGCAGAUAUCAGGAGGAACACCGGUGGCGAAGGCGGGUCUCUGGGCAGUAACUGACGCUGAGGAGCGAAAGCGUGGGGAGCGAACAGGAUUAGAUACCCCGGUAGUCC